GAUUAUGGCUCAGGAUUAACGCUGGCGGCGUGCCUAAUACAUGCAAGUCGAAUGGUAGCAAUACCAUGGCGAACGGGUGAGUAACACGUAGGUAACCUGUCUUUAAGCCGAGGAUAACCAUUGGAAACGAUGGAUAAUACUGGAUAGGACAUUUGAAGGCAUCUUUAGGUGUUUAAAGAUUUAUCACUUAGAGAGGGGCCUGCGGCGCAUUAGCUAGUUGGUGAGGUGAAGGCUUACCAAGGCGAUGAUGCGUAGCCGGACUGAGAGGUUGAACGGCCACAAUGGAACUGAGAACGGUCCAUACUCCUACGGGAGGCAGCAGUAGGGAAUUUUCGGCAAUGGGCGGAAGCCUGACCGAGCAACGCCGCGUGAACGAAGAAGUAUUUCGGUAUGUAAAGUUCUUUUAUUAGGGACGAAAAGACAGAUUGACGGUACCUAAUGAAUAAGCUCCGGCUAACUACGUGCCAGCCGCAGC
rnacentral:rRNA from 1 species